rnacentral:rRNA from 1 species
UACGUAGGUCCCGAGCGUUGUCCGGAUUUAUUGGGCGUAAAGCGAGCGCAGGUGGUUUAUUAAGUCUGGUGUAAAAGGCAGUGGCUCAACCAUUGUAUGCAUUGGAAACUGGUAGACUUGAGUGCAGGAGAGGAGAGUGGAAUUCCAUGUGUAGCGGUGAAAUGCGUAGAUAUAUGGAGGAACACCUGUGGCGAAAGCGGCUCUCUGGCCUGUAACUGACACUGAGGCUCGAAAGCGUGAGGAGCAAACAGG